AGGGAGACUGGAAACAACAGAGGAGGUGUCACAAGGCUUGCUCGUGCUCUCCCAUCCUUCCUGUCCUCUGGCUCGUGCGGUGGGGGAGAUCUUCGUGGGCUAUAUGCCUUGUUAAGGGGUGAGAACCUGAGCCGUAGGAUCAUGCCUCAGGACUACCUGGCCUGAUGACUUCUGGCUGUCCCUGUCCCCAGUGCACCUGGAUGUGCCGCUGAUCCAGUUUCUGCUGUUCUGCCUGUGGGUCCCGGCAUCCAUUCAUGACCAGGAGAUCAGUCUGGCACCCAACUGUGCAAUUUGUCUAACAGAAAAACAGGGUCAACGAUUGUCAUCAUCCCUCAAUUAUAAACGUAAUCUUGUUUGGAAGCUAAUUCUAUGCUUUACUAUGCUUUAAUUUAAUGUGCUUGUUUGUUUUGCUGUUGAUGCCCUUUGAGAUUAUU